rnacentral:rRNA from 1 species
UGCCUAAUACAUGCAAGUAGAACGCUGAAGAGAGGAGCUUGCUCUUCUUGGAUGAGUUGCGAACGGGUGAGUAACGCGUAGGUAACCUGCCUUGUAGCGGGGGAUAACUAUUGGAAACGAUAGCUAAUACCGCAUAACAAUGGAUGACACAUGUCAUUUAUUUGAAAGGGGCAAUUGCUCCACUACAAGAUGGACCUGCGUUGUAUUAGCUAGUAGGUGAGGUAAUGGCUCACCUAGGCGACGAUACAUAGCCGACCUGAGAGGGUGAUCGGCCACACUGGGACUGAGACACGGCCCAGACUCCUACGGGAGGCAGCAGUAGGGAAUCUUCGGCAAUGGGGGCAACCCUGACCGAGCAACGCCGCGUGAGUGAAGAAGGUUUUCGGAUCGUAAAGCUCUGUUGUAAGUCAAGAACGGGUGUGAGAGUGGAAAGUUCACACUGUGACGGUAGCUUACCAGAAAGGGACGGCUAACUACGUGCCAGCAGCCGCGGUAAUACGUAGGUCCCGAGCGUUGUCCGGAUUUAUUGGGCGUAAAGCGAGCGCAGGCGGUUUGAUAAGUCUGAAGUUAAAGGCUGUGGCUCAACCAUAGUUCGCUUUGGAAACUGUCAAACUUGAGUGCAGAAGGGGAGAGUGGAAUUUCAUGUGUAGCGGUGAAAUGCGUAGAUAUAUGGAGGAACACCGGUGGCGAAAGCGGCUCUCUGGUCUGUAACUGACGCUGAGGCUCGAAAGCGUGGGGAGCGAACAGGAUUAGAUACCCUGGUAGUCCACGCCGUAAACGAUGAGUGCUAGGUGUUGGAUCCUUUCCGGGAUUCAGUGCCGCAGCUAACGCAUUAAGCACUCCGCCUGGGGAGUACGACCGCAAGGUUGAAACUCAAAGGAAUUGACGGGGGCCCGCACAAGCGGUGGAGCAUGUGGUUUAAUUCGAAGCAACGCGAAGAACCUUACCAGGUCUUGACAUCCCGAUGCUAUUUCUAGAGAUAGAAAGUUACUUCGGUACAUCGGUGACAGGUGGUGCAUGGUUGUCGUCAGCUCGUGUCGUGAGAUGUUGGGUUAAGUCCCGCAACGAGCGCAACCCCUAUUGUUAGUUGCCAUCAUUCAGUUGGGCACUCUAGCGAGACUGCCGGUAAUAAACCGGAGGAAGGUGGGGAUGACGUCAAAUCAUCAUGCCCCUUAUGACCUGGGCUACACACGUGCUACAAUGGUUGGUACAACGAGUUGCGAGUCGGUGACGGCGAGCUAAUCUCUUAAAGCCAAUCUCAGUUCGGAUUGUAGGCUGCAACUCGCCUACAUGAAGUCGGAAUCGCUAGUAAUCGCGGAUCAGCACGCCGCGGUGAAUACGUUCCCGGGCCUUGUACACACCGCCCGUCACACCACGAGAGUUUGUAACACCCGAAGUCGGUGAGGUAACCUUUUGGAGCCAGCCGCCUAAGGUGGGACAGAUGAUGGGGGAAGU